UACGUAGGGUGCGAGCGUUAAUCGGAAUUACUGGGCGUAAAGCGUGCGCAGGCGGUUGUGCAAGACCGAUGUGAAAUCCCCGGGCUUAACCUGGGAAUGGCAUUGGUGACUGCACGGCUAGAGUGUGUCAGAGGGGGGUAGAAUUCCACGUGUAGCAGUGAAAUGCGUAGAGAUGUGGAGGAAUACCGAUGGCGAAGGCAGCCCCCUGGGCUAACACUGACGCUCAGGCACGAAAGCGUGGGGAGCAAACAGG
rnacentral:rRNA from 1 species